UCCCCUNACGCCGGCGGCNCCCCUAACCAUGCACGUCGUACGAGAACUCUUUAGCUUGCUAAAGAUAGUAAAGUGGCGCACGGGUGAGUAACGCGUGGGUAAUCUACCUCCGAAUCGGGGAUAACUCCGCGGAAGCGGGGCUAAUACCGGAUAAUAUUCUUAAGACUUCGGUUUUUUGAAUCAAAGGUGGUCUCUACAUGUAAACUACUGUUUGGAGAUGAGCUCGCGUACCAUUAGCUUGUUGGUAGGGUAAUGGCCUACCAAGGCUACGAUGGUUANCUGGUCUGAGAGGAUGAUCAGCCACACUGGAACUGACACACGGUCCAGACUCCUACGGGAGGCAGCAGUGAGGAAUUUUGCGCAAUGGGGGAAACCCUGACGCANCAACGCCGCGUGAGUGAUGAAGGCCUUCGGGUCGUAAACUCUGUCAAGUGGGAGGAAAAUGCUUAAUAUCAAUACUAUUUUGCCUGACGGACCCUUGAANGAACACCGGCUACUCCUGCCACCANCCGCGGNAUUCCGGGGGGNCAACCNUAUUCGAUUUUUUGGCCUAAAGGCCCUNNCNNCUUUUANUAAANUAAACCCGGGCUACCUG
rnacentral:rRNA from 1 species